rnacentral:rRNA from 1 species
AUUGGUGGGGGUAGAGCACUGAAUGUGCGCGGGGGCCACAAAGCCUACCAAACGCUAUCAAACUUCGAAUACCAUACAAUGCAGACCAUGGGAGUCAGUCCGCGAGAGAUAAGUUCCGCGGGCAAAAGGGGAACACCCCAGAUCAACCGCUAAGGUCCCCAAGUUCACGUUAAGUGGAGAAGGAUGUGGAAUUGCACAGACAACCAGGAUGUUGGCUCAGAAGCAGCCACACAUUUAAAGAGUGCGUAAUAGCUCACUGGUCGAGUGAUUGUGCGCCGAAGAUGUCCGGGGCUAAACGUGACACCGAAGCGAUGGGUGCAUCUGAAAGGAUGCGCGGUAGAGGAGCAAUGUGCAGAGGCAGAAGCCGUAUCGAGAGGCACGGUGGACACUGCACAAGAGAGAAUGCCGGUAUGAGUAGCGAGAGGCAUGCGAGAAACAUGCCCGUCGAAAGCCCAAGGUUUCCUGGGGAAGGUUCAUCCGCCCAGGGUAAGUCGGGGCCUAAGCCGAGGACGGAAGUCGUAGGCGAUGGACAGCAGGUGUAGAUUCCUGCACUACCGAUGGAAUGAAGCAGUGACACAGAAGGAUAACUCGAGCAGGGUGAUGGUCAACCCUGUGCAAGCAUCAAGGUUGGGUUGUAGUGAAGUACGCAAUCCUAUAAGCUGAGAUGUGAUGCGGACCGAAAUUUCAGUAGGGAAGCGAGUGAGUUCACGCUGGCGAGAAAAGCUGCUAGUAUAUCCAAAGGUACCCGUACCGGAAACCGACGCAGGUGGGCGAGGAGAGAAUCCUGAGACGAACGGGAGAACCCUUGUUAAGGAACUCGGCAAAAUGACCCCGUAACUUCGGGAUAAGGGGUGCCUGCGAGAGCAGGCCGCAGAGAAUAGUCACAAGCGACUGUUUAGCAAAAACACAGGUAUCUGCGAAAGCGAGAGCUGACGUAUAGGUGCUGACACCUGCCCGGUGCUGGAAGGUUAAGGGAACAUGUUAGAGCAAUCGAAGCAUCGAACCGAAGCCCCAGUAAACGGCGGCCGUAACUAUAACGGUCCUAAGGUAGCGAAAUUCCUUGUCGGGUAAGUUCCGACCCGCACGAAUGGUGUAACGACUUGUGAGCUGUCUCAACAGGGGGCCCGGUGAAAUUGAAGUAUGGGUGAAGAUGCCCAUUACCCGCGACUGGACGGAAAGACCCCGUAGAGCUUUACUGCAGCCUGAUAUUGAGUUUCGGUAACUGAUGCACAGGAUAGGUGGGAGUCUGAGAGACAUGGGUUUCGGCUCAUGUGGAGACGGUGUUGGGAUACCACUCUUCGGUUACUGAAAUUCUAACAUAGCUCUGUGAAACCAGAGGAUGGACAGUGUCAGGUGGACAGUUUGACUGGGGCGGUCGCCUCCGAAAGAGUAACGGAGGCGCCCAAAGGUACCCUCAGAAUGGAUGGAAACCAUUCGAAGAGCGCAAAGGCAGAAGGGUGCCUGACUGCGAGAUUGACAAAUCGAGCAGAGACGAAAGUCGGGCUUAGUGAUCCGGCGGUAUUGAGUGGAAAAGCCGUCGCUUAACGGAUAAAAGCUACCUCGGGGAUAACAGGCUGAUCUCCCCCAAGAGUCCACAUCGACGGGGAGGUUUGGCACCUCGAUGUCGGCUCAUCGCAUCCUGGGGCUGUAUUCGGUCCCAAGGGUUUGGCUGUUCGCCAAUUAAAGCGGCACGCGAGCUGGGUUCAGAACGUCGUGAGACAGUUCGGUCCCUAUCCAUCGUGGGCGUAGGAGUCAUGAGAGGAGCUGUUCCUAGUACGAGAGGACCGGAAUGGACGCACCACUGGUGCAACUGUUGUCGUGCCAACGGCAUAGCAGGGAAGCGAAGUGCGGAUGGGAUAAACGCUGAAGGCAUCUAAGCGUGAAGCCCACCUCAAGAAUAAGACUCCACAAUAGACCCCUGGAGGACUACCAGGUAGAUAGGUCAUCGGUGGAAGCGCUGUAAGGCGUGU